rnacentral:rRNA from 1 species
GAUGAACGCUGGCGGCGUGCUUAACACAUGCAAGUCGAACGGGAAAUAUUUCAUUGAGACUUCGGUGGAUUUGAUCUAUUUCUAGUGGCGGACGGGUGAGUAACGCGUGGGUAACCUGCCUUAUACAGGGGGAUAACAGUCAGAAAUGGCUGCUAAUACCGCAUAAGCGCACAGAGCUGCAUGGCUCAGUGUGAAAAACUCCGGUGGUAUAAGAUGGACCCGCGUUGGAUUAGCUAGUUGGUGGGGUAACGGCCCACCAAGGCGACGAUCCAUAGCCGGCCUGAGAGGGUGAACGGCCACAUUGGGACUGAGACACGGCCCAGACUCCUACGGGAGGCAGCAGUGGGGAAUAUUGCACAAUGGGGGAAACCCUGAUGCAGCGACGCCGCGUGAAGGAAGAAGUAUCUCGGUAUGUAAACUUCUAUCAGCAGGGAAGAUAGUGACGGUACCUGACUAAGAAGCCCCGGCUAACUACGUGCCAGCAGCCGCGGUAAUACGUAGGGGGCAAGCGUUAUCCGGAUUUACUGGGUGUAAAGGGAGCGUAGACGGUGUGGCAAGUCUGAUGUGAAAGGCAUGGGCUCAACCUGUGGACUGCAUUGGAAACUGUCAUACUUGAGUGCCGGAGGGGUAAGCGGAAUUCCUAGUGUAGCGGUGAAAUGCGUAGAUAUUAGGAGGAACACCAGUGGCGAAGGCGGCUUACUGGACGGUAACUGACGUUGAGGCUCGAAAGCGUGGGGAGCAAACA